GGACGGGUGAGUAAUGCCUAGGAAUCUGCCUGGUAGUGGGGGACAACGUUUUCGAAAGGAACGCUAAUACCGCAUACGUCCUACGGGAGAAAGCAGGGGACCUUCGGGCCUUGCGCUAUCAGAUGAGCCUAGGUCGGAUUAGCUAGUUGGUGAGGUAAUGGCUCACCAAGGCGACGAUCCGUAACUGGUCUGAGAGGAUGAUCAGUCACACUGGAACUGAGACACGGUCCAGACUCCUACGGGAGGCAGCAGUGGGGAAUAUUGGACAAUGGGCGAAAGCCUGAUCCAGCCAUGCCGCGUGUGUGAAGAAGGUCUUCGGAUUGUAAAGCACUUUAAGUUGGGAGGAAGGGUUGUAGAUUAAUACUCUGCAAUUUUGACGUUACCGACAGAAUAAGCACCGGCUAACUCUGUGCCAGCAGCCGCGGUAAUACAGAGGGUGCAAGCGUUAAUCGGAAUUACUGGGCGUAAAGCGCGCGUAGGUGGUUUGUUAAGUUGGAUGUGAAAGCCCCGGGCUCAACCUGGGAACUGCAUUCAAAACUGACAAGCUAGAGUAUGGUAGAGGGUGGUGGAAUUUCCUGUGUAGCGGUGAAAUGCGUAGAUAUAGGAAGGAACACCAGUGGCGAAGGCGACCCCUGGACUGAUACUGACACUGAGGUGCGAAAGCGUGGGAGCAAACAGGAUUAGAUACCCUGGUAGUCCACGCCGUAAACGAUGUCAACUAGCCGUUGGGAGCCUUGAGCUCUUAGUGGCGCAGCUAACGCAUUAAGUUGACCGCCUGGGGAGUACGGCCGCAAGGUUAAAACUCAAAUGAAUUGACGGGGGCCCGCACAAGCGGUGGAGCAUGUGGUUUAAUUCGAAGCAACGCGAAGAACCUUACCAGGCCUUGACAUCCAAUGAACUUUCCAGAGAUGGAUUGGUGCCUUCGGGAACAUUGAGACAGGUGCUGCAUGGCUGUCGUCAGCUCGUGUCGUGAGAUGUUGGGUUAAGUCCCGUAACGAGCGCAACCCUUGUCCUUAGUUACCAGCACGUAAUGGUGGGCACUCUAAGGAGACUGCCGGUGACAAACCGGAGGAAGGUGGGGAUGACGUCAAGUCAUCAUGGCCCUUACGGCCUGGGCUACACACGUGCUACAAUGGUCGGUACAGAGGGUUGCCAAGCCGCGAGGUGGAGCUAAUCCCAUAAAACCGAUCGUAGUCCGGAUCGCAGUCUGCAACUCGACUGCGUGAAGUCGGAAUCGCUAGUAAUCGCGAAUCAGAAUGUCGCGGUGAAUACGUUCCCGGGCCUUGUACACACCGCCCGUCACACCAUGGGAGUGGGUUGCACCAGAAGUAGCUAGUCUAACCUUCGGGGGGACGGUUACCACGGUGUGAUUCAUGACUGGGG
rnacentral:rRNA from 1 species